GAGUGCUCAAAGCAAGCCU
rnacentral:siRNA from 1 species